rnacentral:rRNA from 1 species
AAAUUCUGCCCUAUGAAUAUUUAAAUGGCUGCAGUAUUUUAACUGUACAAAGGUAGCAUAAUAAUUAGUUUUUUAAUUGAGGACUGGAAUGAAAGAUUUAAUGAGAAAUUUAUUUUAUUACUGUUAAUUUUUAAAUUUUAUUUUUAGGUAAAAAAGCUUAAUUUCUAUUUUGGGACGAAAAGACCCUAUAGAACUUUAUUUAAGCUAUUUUUAUUAUAAUAAUUUGCAAUGUAAUUAUAAUAGUUUAGGUUUUGUUGGGGUGACAAAUAAAAUAAUCUUUAUUUUUUUAUUUCAUUAAUUUAUGAUUGUUUUGAUUUAAAUUUUAAUUAUAAGAUUAAGUUACCUUAGGGAUAACAGCGUAAUUUUUAUGGGGAGUUCAUAUCUAUAUAAAAGUUUGCGACCUCGAUGUUGAAUUAAGAUUAAUUAAUGAUGAAGUAUUUGUUUAUAUUAAGUCUGUUCGACUUUUAAAUUCUU